rnacentral:rRNA from 1 species
GACGAACGCUGGCGGUGUGCUUAACACAUGCAAGUCGAACGGACACGCCCUGCUUUUUUGGGGUGCUCGAGUGGCGAACGGGGGAGUAACACGUGAGUAACCUGCCCUUGACUUUGGUAUAACUUCAUGAAUCUUGGGCUUAUACCGGAUAGGAUUUUUUGCUGCAUGGUGGGUGUUGGAAAGUUUCGUUGGUUGGGGUGUGACUCGCGGCUUAUCAGCUUGUUGGUGGGGUGGUGGCUUACCAAGUCUUUGACGGGUAGCCGGCCUGAGAGGGUGACCGGCCACACUGGGACUGAGAUACGGCCCAGACUCGUACGGGAGGCAGCAGUGGAGAAUAGUACACAAUGGGCUGAAGCAUGACGCAGCAACGCCACACGGGGGAUGACGGCAUUGGGGUUGGAACCCGCUUUCGCCUGUGACGAAGCGUGAGUGACGGUAAUGGGUAAAGAAGCACCGGCUAACUACGUG